CUGCAGCCAAUUAAGCCCACCAUGCUCUUUUCCCCAAGGAGGCCUGGUGUGCAAUGGCUGCAAACAGGAGCCCCCUCAGCAGUGCAUGCAGCCUGCUGCUUGUAUGGACUGCCCUAAGGGACCUUGGAGACAGCC
ensembl:snoRNA SNORA70 Small nucleolar RNA SNORA70